rnacentral:rRNA from 1 species
AUUGAACGCUGGCGGCAGGCUUAACACAUGCAAGUCGAGCGGGGGAAGGUAGCUUGCUACCGGACCUAGCGGCGGACGGGUGAGUAAUGCUUAGGAAUCUGCCUAUUAGUGGGGGACAACAUCUCGAAAGGGAUGCUAAUACCGCAUACGUCCUACGGGAGAAAGCAGGGGAGCUUCGGACCUUGCGCUAAUAGAUGAGCCUAAGUCGGAUUAGCUAGUUGGUGGGGUAGAGGCCUACCAAGGCGACGAUCUGUAGCGGGUCUGAGAGGAUGAUCCGCCACACUGGGACUGAGACACGGCCCAGACUCCUACGGGAGGCAGCAGUGGGGAAUAUUGGACAAUGGGGGGAACCCUGGUCCAGCCAUGCCGCGUGUGUGAAGAAGGCCUUAUGGUUGUAAAGCACUUUAAGCGAGGAGGAGGCUACUUUAGUUAAUACCUAGAGAUAGUGGACGUUACUCGCAGAAUAAGCACCGGCUAACUCUGUGCCAGCCGCCGCAGUAA